AUUUUAAUCACCGUACCAAGUUUAUACUUAUGGCAAUUCAUUUAAAGAGGGGAAAUGCCACAUACAAAAUAUAUUGGGUGAAGUUUUCUGGCUCAUGUUUUUCAGGAAGUAAAAUCUGGCCUUUAAUGUUUGUGACUCCAUCAAGAUGGAAUGAUUCUCCUUCAUGACAGCACACAUGUGUUCUUAAAAUCAUCACAAAUGCCUGGCUUUUAUAUUUAUAGUUUCCUGAGAGCUUGUUGUUCAGUAGUGGAAUCUCUGCAGAUAACCUUACAGUGAAUACAACUCUAUUUUACUGUAGGGCUUAUCAGAUAGUCAUUCAAGGAACUUUCUGCUUCUCAUCACUCACAACUUCCAUUCAUGGGGUGGAGUAUGCUUCACAACAAGGCUUUGGAAUUUUAAAAAGAAAUAUAAAACAAGUAAACAACAGCAACAACAGAUCCCUGUAUUUCUUUCUUAAUGAAAUACUGAUGAUAAAUCUAAAAUGAUGGUACUCCACUGUCUCCAUAACAGUGGAAAGCUAUACUUUAUGGGCUAUUUUUACUUUGGGGAUAAAGUUCUACCCCUUGAGAUGCUGGAGUUUUCAAGAAAUGUGAAGCUUUACCAUACUUCAUUGAAGCUGAGAGUAGUUGAUGGUUUUCAAAAAGUACUUUGCAGUUUGAAAUAUUGAAUCAAAUGAUAGAAGCUGCAUUGAAGAGCUGAGGAUGAGAUGGUAGAGCAAGAUUCUUACAUGAUGAAUUUCAUUUGAAGGUUUGAGUCAUCUUGAUUUGGUAGACUUUGUUAGCUAGCUCAAUUUGGAAUUUCAUCAUACUUCCACAGAAUGUAGUGAUGACUUCACAAAGGCAUCAUUAUAUCAACGGACUGACGUAUGGCUUCCAUCUGUGGAUACUGAAUGCUGCUAUCCUGCAGUGUUUUGGAGAACUCUUGCCAAGAUAGGAACUCAGGUUCAGAUGCCUCUUGAAAACUAUGACAUCUACCACAAAACAAGGCAGCAUGACAUAUCACAGCAAGGGAAUGAAGUAUAUUGCAAGAUCAGACCUGACUUGUAAUAACCUGAGCAAAGGAGCAGUGAUUUUACGGAUUUGGAGGCAUAAUCUUUUUUUAGAUGGCAUUCCUGAGUGUGGAAACUCCCUUGUUUGGAGGCAAGCUUUCUCAGUUGAUGAGUUCUAUCCAAAUAGGAAUUGUAACCAGUAUAAGCCUCUAUAAUUUUGCAAAGGCUGCAAAGGACAUAAAAGAUCUGUUCUACUUUGAUUUCUCAGAGAAUGUCAAGUGGAGCUGAGCCACAGGUACUGUUACUCAAGGGUACAUAGACUUCCAACCCUCUUUGAUUCCAAUGGGAGAGAAGAAACAAAAUACUGUAGAAGAUCUAACUCCAGCCUAAUCCCCAAAAAUCCAGGAUUUCUGAGUGAACUUCAUCAGGGUUAGAUGUAUAAGAGUCCUUCAAAAUUCCUGUAGAGUUAAUGGAGAUACACUGGUCCCACUGGAAGGAUUUCAUCCUAACUCUACAAUUACUGUUUUGGAUAGGAUGAAAGAUUUCACUUCUGGAAGGCCUCCAUUCUCUGCAGCAUGAGCUUGGACAAAUAGCUUGGACAAUCAUCUAGCACUGCCAUGGAGGUCUGUCUCAGGUUGAGCUAUAUCCUACUGUAAAAAAGUAAGGAAAAAAAAAAAAAACAAUAACCAAUGACCUAUAGUAGUAUAAAAGAAUUAUCAAGUUAUGAUUUAUUGUUGCAGAUUACAGAAAUUUUCCAAAUAUGGUCAGAAAAUUUGGAAUGAGAGAAAAUAAGAAAACAUCUCUAUCACUUCACCUCUUGUUCUGAAUGCAAGUAAUGUUUCUCCACCUCCUGUAACUGAAAAAAGCCAGACAUAUACAAGUAAGAAAUACAUAUACACUUACAUGUACAGAUACAUUUAUGUAUGUACAUAUAUAUGUAUCUUCCAAUAAAGCAUUAAAUUUCAGUGAACACUUUUUAUUCAAUGACUGGAUAAUUUGUAGACAUUAAGUAAUACAUGUUAACUGAAAGACUCAGAGAACAGAGCAGAAAUAUAUCUUUUAAGUUCAGGGGAAUCUCAUCUCGUUUCAGGUUUCAAAUCUGUGAUUCAGAGUGCAUUUAUAGGAAAGGACUAUAAUGAUCAAAGUUUGUGUACUACAUGAUGAUUUGCAGAUCUCUAACAAAAUCAGGCUAAUAUAGAUUUUAGAUGGAAUUCUGCUUUGAGAAUUUGAAGUGAAACUUGAGGAUCAGCUGUAUAAUGUGUUGCAAUGUUCAGUCAAGUGAUGAGGUUUUAAAUAGCAGUCACUGACAGCCAAAGGAAUUCCAUCUUGAGGAGGACAAUUUUAUUCAUUUGUGGCUAUUGACAAUAGUUACAUUCCUGUAAUAAUUAGAAAUAGUACCUAGAGUCAUAAAAGGUCAGAAAUGUUCAUAGGAUACUGCAUGUGCUCUACUUCUAUGAACUAUGCCUAUAAAUCUAUUAUUAUUUAUGUUGCAUUGAAUAAGGGUAAUAUGACUUUUAAUUUUGUUUUAAUGAGUAAUAAACAUUGUUUGUAAAUAGUCACAAAUCUUUAUUUAAAGAGUGAUAUUUAUUAAGCUCUUUAGCAAUUUCAUUUAUGAAAUGUAUUUCUGCAGCUGAUGAAUUUGAUUGAAAACAAGAAACCUUUGAAAAAGUAUGACACCAGAACCAAAGAAAACAAUGAAAUUCACUCUUGGCAUGAAUGAGUAACCCAUUCCUUCCUUCCUCUCAGCUGAAGAAUGGGUUUUAGUAACUGAAACUGGAGAGUCUUAUUUCAGCCUAAACAACCCUGAUCUGCAGGCCUCAAAGCAAAAGAAGACUAUAUGCCAGGUGUAACUUUGGUAUUUUCUUAUAUAAUAAAGGUAAAACUAAUGGUCUAAUGAGCAGGAAUAAAACUCAUGUCCACCAGUGUCAUAUAUGCAGAUGACAAUAUGAUCUGUAUGCUCCUGCAUUCAUUCAUG
rnacentral:lncRNA from 1 species